rnacentral:rRNA from 1 species
UAACACCAGCGCCACGAGUGGUAACCACGUUUAUUGGGCCUAAAGCGUCCGUAGCCGGCUUGGUAAAUCUUUUGUGAAAUUGUUCGGCUUAACCGAACAACGUGCAAGAGACACUGCCAGGCUUGAGACCGGGAGGAGUCAGAAGUAUUCCAGGGGGAGCGGUAAAAUGUUAUAAUCCCUGGAGGACUACCUGUGGCGAAGGCGUCUGACCAGAACGGAUCUGACGGUGAGGGACGAAAGCCAGGGGAGCGAACCGGAUUAGAUACCCGAGUAGUCCUGGCCGUAAACGCUGUGAGCUAGGUGUUGCGUCAGCCACGAGCUGGCGCAGUGUCGAAAAGAAGUUGUUAAGCUCACCGCCUGGGAAGUACGGUCGCAAGACUG